GGGAGCCGCGUGGUAGUUUAUAUUGAUGCGUGGCCGAAGCCUGGCUUGACGUACAAGGUUAUAACAGAAAGAGUUUGGGUAGAAUACAAGAGAAGGAAGGAGGUUAAGAUUACAACUCUAUAUUCUAACACCCUCCCUUAAUCUCAACUAACCUAAGUUAAGAUUACUCUUGAAUUCUUCAAAUGGUCUUGCUGGUAGUGCUUUUGUAAAACCGUCAGCCACUUGAUCCUUAGAAGGAAUAAAUCGAAUCUCAAGUUUCUUUGCCGCAACCCUUUCUCGUACAAAGUGAAAAUCAAUUUCUAUGUGCUUUGUCCUGGCAUGGAACACUGGAUUUGCAGACAGAUAUGUUGCUCCCAAAUUAUCACACCAUAAACAUGAGGUACGAUUCUUCUUGAUUCCCAAUUCCUCAAGAAGUGAUUCAACCCAAAUGAUCUCAGCAGUUGCAUUAGCCAAAGACUUGUAUUCAGCUUCUGUACUUGAGCGUGACACAGUAGCUUGCUUUCUAGCACUCCAGGAGAUAAGAUUAGAUCCAAAGAACACUGCAAAACCUCCAGUUGAUCUUCUGUCAUCACUACAUCCUGCCCAGUCAGCAUCAGAGAAUGCACUCACAAGAGAAGAAUUAGACCGUUUGAAAUGAAGUCCUAUUCCCAUAGUAUGUUUCACAUAUCUCACAAUCCUCUUGACAGCUGACCAAUGUGCAGAAGUAGGUGCAUGAAGAUAUUGACAAACC
rnacentral:rRNA from 1 species